rnacentral:tRNA from 2 species
GCCUCCAUAGCUCAGCUGGCCAGAGCAACUGACUUGUAAUCAGUAGGUCGUUGGUUCGAAUCCGACUGGGGGCUCAA